rnacentral:lncRNA from 1 species
CUUGUUCCAAAGCAGACGUAUAGAUGGACGACGGAUCAUGGAUGGGGGUGGUUCCUUGAGAGGAGCACCCACCCUGCACUGCAGCCUGCAGCCUGCAGGGGUCAACCGAUCUGCCUGGGCAGCCCCACUGUUUCACCCAGGGUAAAAUCUGGACCGUUCUCCCCUUCGAUCGGGCGGUGUCCCUCGUCUGAGCUCCAGUACAUAGAGCAGAGGACCUCCGCUGCCGCUGUUUACUGCCUACACACGUACACACACACACACACGAGCACACCUUCCAGCACAGUGCCAGCCACCGGAGAGAGAGGGAGCAGCAGCCAUGCGGUGGUGCUACGUGGGGAAGGCGACCAAGAUCUUCUUCGCCGUCGUGGCCGCGCUCGCCGUCGUCGGUCUCAUCGUUGCCGUCGGCGCCGUCGUCCNNN